rnacentral:rRNA from 1 species
AGAGUUUGAUCCUGGCUCAGGAUGAACGCUAGCUACAGGCUUAACACAUGCAAGUCGAGGGGCAGCAUGGUCUUAGCUUGCUAAGACUGAUGGCGACCGGCGCACGGGUGAGUAACACGUAUCCAACCUGCCGUCUACUCUUGGACAGCCUUCUGAAAGGAAGAUUAAUACAAGAUGGCAUCAUGAGUCCGCAUGUUCACAUGAUUAAAGGUAUUCCGGUAGACGAUGGGGAUGCGUUCCAUUAGAUAGUAGGCGGGGUAACGGCCCACCUAGUCUUCGAUGGAUAGGGGUUCUGAGAGGAAGGUCCCCCACAUUGGAACUGAGACACGGUCCAAACUCCUACGGGAGGCAGCAGUGAGGAAUAUUGGUCAAUGGGCGAGAGCCUGAACCAGCCAAGUAGCGUGAAGGAUGACUGCCCUAUGGGUUGUAAACUUCUUUUAUAAAGGAAUAAAGUCGGGUAUGGAUACCCGUUUGCAUGUACUUUAUGAAUAAGGAUCGGCUAACUCCGUGCCAGCAGCCGCGGUAAUACGGAGGAUCCGAGCGUUAUCCGGAUUUAUUGGGUUUAAAGGGAGCGUAGAUGGAUGUUUAAGUCAGUUGUGAAAGUUUGCGGCUCAACCGUAAAAUUGCAGUUGAUACUGGAUAUCUUGAGUGCAGUUGAGGCAGGCGGAAUUCGUGGUGUAGCGGUGAAAUGCUUAGAUAUCACGAAGAACUCCGAUUGCGAAGGCAGCCUGCUAAGCUGCAACUGACAUUGAGGCUCGAAAGUGUGGGUAUCAAACAGGAUUAGAUACCCUGGUAGUCCACACGGUAAACGAUGAAUACUCGCUGUUUGCGAUAUACAGCAAGCGGCCAAGCGAAAGCGUUAAGUAUUCCACCUGGGGAGUACGCCGGCAACGGUGAAACU